UACGUAGGGCGCAAGCGUUAUCCGGAAUUAUUGGGCGUAAAGAGCUCGUAGGCGGCCUGUUGCGUCCGCUGUGAAAGCCCGGGGCUUAACCCCGGGUCGGCAGUGGAUACGGGCAGGCUAGAGGUAGGUAGGGGAGAAUGGAAUUCCCGGUGUAGCGGUGAAAUGCGCAGAUAUCGGGAGGAACACCGGUGGCGAAGGCGGUUCUCUGGGCCUGUUCUGACGCUGAGGAGCGAAAGCGUGGGGAGCGAACAGG
rnacentral:rRNA from 1 species